rnacentral:rRNA from 1 species
CCCACGGGAGGCAGCAGUGGGGAAUAUUGGACAAUGGGGGCAACCCUGAUCCAGCAAUUCUGUGUGCACGAAGAAGGUUUUCGGAUUGUAAAGUGCUUUCAGCAGGGAAGAAGGAAGUGACGGUACCUGCAGAAGAAGCGACGGCUAAAUACGUGCCAGCAGCCGCGGUAAUACGUAUGUCGCGAGCGUUAUCCGGAAUUAUUGGGCAUAAAGGGCAUCUAGGCGGCCUGACAAGUCAGGGAUGAAAACCUGCGGCUCAACCGCAGGCCUGCCUUUGAAACUGUAAGGCUGGAGUACCGGAGAGGUGGACGGAACUGCACGAGUAGAGGUGAAAUUCGUAGAUAUGUGCAGGAAUGCCGAUGAUGAAGAUAGUCCACUGGACGGAAACUGACGCUGAAGUGCGAAAGCCGGGGGAGCGAACAGGAUUAGAUACCCGUGUAGUC